rnacentral:rRNA from 1 species
GUCGAGGAUCUUUUGCAAUGCCCGAAAGGGUGACAAUGCGACGCCGCGUGCGCGAUGAAGGUUUUCGGAUUGUAAAGCGCUGUCGUCCGGGAGGAAUCUCUGGAGGCUUAAUAAGCUUGCAGGGUGACAGUACCGGAAGAGGAAGCCACGGCUAACUCCGUGCCAGCAGCCGCGGUAAUACGGAGGUGGCAGGCGUUACUCGGAUUGAUUGGGUGUAAAGGGUGUGUAGGUGGUGAAUUAAGUCGAAUGUGAAAGCCCCUGGCUCAACCAGGGAAUUGCAUUCGAAACUGAUUUGCUUGAGCGAUGGAGAGGAAAGCGGAAUUCCCGGUGUAACAGUGAAAUGUGUAGAUAUCGGGAGGAACACCAGUGGCGAAGGCGGCUUUCUGGACAUCUGCUGACACUGAAACACGAGAGCAUGGGGAGCAAACAGGAUUAGAAACCCGAGUAGUCC